rnacentral:lncRNA from 1 species
UCAGCUUCACCUCUUCAUGGAACCGGUUUGAAGUCUCCCCCUCUCAACUGACUUCACAGCCAUCUUAGAGUAGCUAGGACACGGCCAGAUCAUCUUCAAAACACCAGUGAGGCUGAUCAACACUUCACACACGGCUUGCCCUCUUCAUAGAACUGGUUUGGAUCUCCCCCUCUCAACAGACUUCUCAGCCAUCUUAGAGAAGCUAGGAACUGACCAGGAACAUCUUUAGUGAGGCUCAAGCAAUGGUACCUGAUACAUUAUCCCAAAGGUGCAUCAGUACCUAUCAAAACCAAGAAAAUGAAUAUCCUGCAUCACACUUGAUGCACACAAUCUCACAAUUCAAU